rnacentral:rRNA from 1 species
UACGGGGGAUGCGAGCGUUAUCCGGAUUUAUUGGGUUUAAAGGGCGCGUAGGCGGGACGGCAAGUCAGCGGUAAAAGACUGCAGCUAAACUGUAGCACGCCGUUGAAACUGUUGACCUGGAGACGAGACGAGGGAGGCGGAACAAGUGAAGUAGCGGUGAAAUGCAUAGAUAUCACUUGGAACCCCGAUAGCGAAGGCAGCUUCCCAGGCUCGUUCUGACGCUGAUGCGCGAGAGCGUGGGUAGCGAACAGG